CAGUCGCCGCGGGAAUACGAAGGGGGCUAGCGUUGCUCGGAAUUACUGGGCGUAAAGCGCACGCAGGCGGUCUGUCAAGUCAGAUGUGAAAUCCCCGGGCUUAACCUGGGAACUGCAUUUGAAACUGGCAGGCUAGAGUCUUGUAGAGGGGGGUAGAAUUCCAGGUGUAGCGGUGAAAUGCGUAGAGAUCUGGAGGAAUACCGGUGGCGAAGGCGGCCCCCUGGACAAAGACUGACGCUCAGGUGCGAAAGCGUGGGGAGCAAACAGGAUUAGAUACCCGUGUAGUCCCUGUCUCUUAUAC
rnacentral:rRNA from 1 species